GUUUUGAUGAGGAUGAUAUAAUGAUGAUGAUGAUGAUGAUGAUGAGUGAAAGAAGGAGGUGAAAUUUAUUCUAUGACACAUAGAAAUGAUUUUGUAAAAUAUCACUCAAUCUCUUUCUUUGACUAAUAUAUAGAUGAAGAUGGCGGAAGAUAAUCAUUUCUUUUUCUUCAUCAUCAUCAUCAUCUUGCUUUUUAUUAUCAUCAUUAUAUAGGAUGAUGUAUAAUGAUGAUGAUGAUGAUAAUAAAUAUCAUAAUAACAAAGAGAAUGGGAAUUGUAAUAUUAGAUAUAAAUGGUAGCCAAUAUAAUUUACGCUUCAACUUUUGGAUAUUAAGGUAAGUCUCUGUUGUUUUUUUCUUCUUCUUCUUUUCUUCAUCAUCAUCAUCAUCUUUUCUUGGUAAUUUAUUUAAUUUUGUGUUUCUUUUCUCUCUCUCUCUCCCCUUUCAAGCUACAUUUUAUUUUCAUCAUUACUUUGAUUAUCAUGAUUAUGAUUAGUUUCCAUCUCUGUUUGUUUAUUGUUGUUUCUUUUUUCUCUCGCUUCUUUAGGUUUUUUUUUCUUCUCACUUUUUUUUCUACAUAAUUCUGAUUAAAAUUACCUUUCUAUUCAAUUUCUGCUGAUUAGGAAUUUUUUUCCACAAAUUUAAAUUCUAAUUAUAAUAAAAAACUUUUUGUUUCUUUUUCUCAUUUCGAAUAAUUUAAAAUGUUUCCUUCUAUUCCACCAGAUGGCGUUUCUGUCGAUUUGUUUACUUUUCCAUUUUGAUUUUUUUUUCUUCUCAUUGUCUUUUUCUUAAUUGUUUUCUAAUUUAAUUACAGUUGUUAAUUUCUCUCUGAUUUUAAUUGUUUUCUCUCAAUUCAAUAUCGUUUGACUCUUCUUUCCUGUGCUGAGAUGUUGUCAUACAUAUAAAAUUGAUCAAUUCUUUUUCCAUUUUCUCUGUAAAGUGACAUGGUGAUGAUGAUAAGUAAAUCAUGUGGUGAUGAUGAAGAUAAAGUCUCUACUUAAGCUGUUGAUAUUCAGGGAAAAUGAAACGGUUUCAUGGCGAGAGACAUAAUGGUUAACACAACGAAGUGAAAAAGUGAUAAAAUAUUAAGAUAUGGAUAGACUAUUGAUGGAAAGGAAGAUUAUCCAAUCUAUUCUUUAACAAAUAAUAUCUUCCACUUUUCAUCAUCUCUUUUGUCUCUUUCUCUUCCUUCUAAAUAUGUGUAAGUGUAUUUUAUUUACUACUUCCACUUCUAAUACAGCAGAGAGUGAGGAUAACCUUUAAAAUGAACAGUUAAGUGAGGCUUGUUGUGGGUUGUAUGAUUUUGUGCUUGGGUGAAGUCAAAAGGCUUGUCAAAAUAUUGGAAUUGAAACAAGCUUUUUCCAAAUAGAAAAAGAGAGAGAUAGAGGGAGAGGGAGAGAAGGAGAGAAGGAGAGGUGAAAAAGAGAGACAAAAAACAAGAGAAACAAGCGUGGGGUGGGUCUAUGGGAGGUGGAAGGCUACAAGAAGGUAUAACGGUAAAGUUGUUGAAAGAUUUGCUGGUUUAUCUUUACAGAAAGAUGAUGAAGAAAAAAAAGAGAGCAAAGAGAGUCGAUUUCAGUAUCUCUCUCUCUCUCUCUCUCUCUUUUGAUGUCAAAAGAUGAUAGAGGAUAAAAAAGAGCGGGAAAAAUGGAAGAUGAAUGAAAGUAUCUCAAUGUAUUAGUCUCAUGAGGACCAAUAACAACAAAUUGAACAACAAUUUAGGCGAAAAUUUUUCCGCCCAAACAAUUCAAUUAUCAUUUUAAACUGUUGAUUGUUUUGUUAUAUAUAUAAAAAUGAGAGAGAUUUUCUCAACAAAAAGGAGAGACCGUGACGGGGAAACAUUGGACCUGUUGGAUUAUAUUACAAUCAGAUCAAUUGAUCAACAAUCAAUAGACAAUUUGGUUAAUCAAUAAACUGGUUCAUCUAAAUAAUAAUAAUCAUUUAAAAACAAAAACAAAAACAAAACAAAGAUCAAGGUAAAAGUUAAACAACAUUAACAAUAAUCAAUGAACUGGAAUUAAAUUACAACCCAAAUGAUAAACAAUCAUGUUAAUCAUCAUCAUUAUUAUUACCUGAAGAUAACAACUAGAUUAACCCAACAGAAAUUAAUUGUUCCCAUGUAUAUUCCCAUACCUGGUGAGAUAAUGAUAAUAUUGAAUAUCCAGACUCAUUGAUUGUCAAAACAUCAAUCAACUGAAUGAUUUAACCUUUGAUUGAUGUGUGUGUUUACCGUUUGGAUAAUAUAUUUUUUUUUGAUAAGUUUUGAUGUUUAAAUUGUUGAAUAGGUUGACAGGUAAAAACAAGAAAAAUAAAAGGAAAACCCUUAGUAUGUUUAUCUAUUGUUUGAUUGCAAUGAUGGGUUAUUAUUAUUAUUAUUAUGAUUAACAGUAAUCAACAUGAUUACUAUUAUGAUGAUAAUGAUUAUCAGGGAGAGAGAGGUAAAGAAAAGGUAGAUACAUGAACUUGUAUAUGAAAUGAAAACACUGUCAAUAAAAUGAGAAUGAAAAAGUUUAUCAGUUGUUGGAAUUGAUUCUUAGCUGUCUAUUGGUUAUUAUUUUGAUUGAUUGCAAUUUAUCAACUAAGUAAGUAAUAAUAAUGAUUAUCAUGAUGAUGAUAAUAAGUGAACAAGUUUGCUUCCAAUUAGAUGAAAAUAUCAAUUUGUGCUUGAAUCAACAUGAAAUGUUUCAUUUGGAGUCAAGGAGACAGGAAACA